UUCCAGCUCACGCACUCACUUUCUUCCUCUGCUCCAGGCCCGUUCUGGAUCUCCGCCCUGCUUCCUUUCCUCUUCGUGUCUUCCUCCAUGGAUCUACGUCUACCUCGGCGCGCGGUGCUUGCUUCGACUCAAGGCUCCAGCUACCAUCUCUUCGGCCUUCGGAUUUGCAGAGUAAACCAAGUGUGGAGGGGGCGGUGAAGGCAAUUAUAUAUGCCAUUGGGGUUGAGGGAGGAAGCAAGUACAGGAGAAGAUAAUCCACACUUACAAAAGUAUUUUCCCCAAGGAUGGAGCUAACCUAGAGGGAAAAUUUCCCUAAUGCAUGUUCAAGUUUGCUGGUAGCUUCAACUUGGAAACUAUGUCCCCGUGGAUCAUGGACUUCGUGUUCUGCGUGGAGUAUGCACUUCGCGGGGGUUGACUUGUGCCAUCAGAUUCAUCCAUGCAUCGAGUGUAUAUCUUGAUCACAGUGACGAAUGUGCGUUACGGUUACAUCCGAGAGGAGCAGGUUGAUAUGCGUAAGAGGCAGCGGAGACAAAUGAGUCAACGAAUCAACAAAUCUAUUUUUCAAAUCUCACCCACUCGAGGAUCUUCUUGACCGUGCUUGGCUCUUUUAUGGAUUGUUCAAAGCCAGGGUCAUGUGCAUAGUGAAAUCAUCAUGGAAUUUUAUUGAAUUAUGUACGGAGAACAAAUCAAUGUUGCGACGAGUGCGGUGUGAAUUGUGAGGACAAGGAUAGUCCAGAGUACCAGCAUGGUGAUCAA